ensembl:lncRNA
GUGUGUGUGUGCACGUGCACGUUUAUGUGGUGCGCGUGUGUGCACGUGCAUGCUUGUGUGUCUGCGUUUAAGUGACGUCAGCCGCUGUGGUCGGGAGUCCCCUGGCUAUGACCUUCAUGAGCGUGCCAACCCGGGGACGAGCCACGGAGGUAUUGACUCUCCUGCAGGUGCCAGGCGUGAGCCUAGCCAGAGAACAGAGGGAACAAUACCGUGUUGACCCAGCCAUUCAUUGUGGACCACUCACCUGAAACUGUCUGAUUCCAAAACAAAUUACUGCACCUCAAAAUGCACUCAGUCAGGUGGAUUCAGCCGACUUCGUAAUCGUUCGUCACAUUUUCAGCCUCUUUACCCAGAUCAACAUGCACACCAUGCAGCCCUCGACCAACACAACGUCACGGAGACGAAGGCCGGCUCCGACAUCUUUGAUGUCGCCACGCUACCCCUCUUCCAAUCGAUCUGAAAUGUACAUAGAGUAUUGAAGAGGAGUCUAGCAUGAAUAUUUACACCCUUAUGUGUGCCUAAGGGUGGGGUUAGGGUUAGGUGACGGUGAGGAUUUCGAAUCAAUCUCGGCUUGCUCAAAGUAAAAGGCGGGAGAUGUCUCUGGUUUUGACGACUCCUUUCUCUUUCUCCGAUUCGUUUUUUCUGUCCCCAGUUGUCACACUGACUCUGCAGGACCAUGGACAGCGUCCUUUUAAGGACAGCGUCCCUGUAAGGCAACGGUCCUGUAAGACAACGGCCCUUUAAGACAGCGGCCCUUUAAGAACAGCAGUCCUUUAAGACAGCGGCCCUUUGGGGCCCUCUGGGGUCGAAGUCGAGGUGCAGGAGUUUAUUCUGCUCGUACGUAGAAACCAACAGUGAUUAAAGCUUUGGGCACAUUGGCUUUGAAUUGUCUCGAAGAUAUCUGGUUGAUAGUUGAUUUUACGUGGUUUUUAAUGUUGGGUUUGUUGAGCGCUUGAAUUUUGAACUGAUUAAAGGCAGAGCUACCCUGUGAUGGAAAAAUGAUGCAAAGCCUUUUUAGAUGUUUGACCAAUCACGAUCAAAUAUAAAAACAAAGCUGCAGUAUAAAAUAUCUUCAUGCUUUAUGUUUAGACGUGAAGUGAGAAACAAUUGCGUGCAGU